AUACGGAGGGUGCAAGCGUUACUCGGAAUCACUGGGCGUAAAGCGCACGUAGGCGGACUGGAAAGUUGGGGGUGAAAUCCCGGGGCUCAACCCCGGAACUGCCUCCAAAACUUCCAAUCUAGAGAUCGAGAGAGGUGAGUGGAAUUCCAAGUGUAGAGGUGAAAUUCGUAGAUAUUUGGAGGAACACCAGUGGCGAAGGCGGCUCACUGGCUCGAUACUGACGCUGAGGUGCGAAAGCGUGGGGAGCAAACAGGAUUAGAUACCCGUGUAGUCC
rnacentral:rRNA from 1 species